rnacentral:tRNA from 1 species
GGCUCAAUAGCUCAGUUGGUAGAGCAGGGGAUUCAUAAGCCCUUGGUCACAGGUUCAAAUCCCGUUUGAGCCA